rnacentral:rRNA from 1 species
UCCUCCAAGGCUAAAUACUCCUGACUGACCGAUAGUGAACCAGUACCGUGAGGGAAAGGCGAAAAAGACCCCGGCGAGGGGAGUGAAAAAGAACCUGAACCGUGUACGUACAAGCAGUGGGAGCACCUUCGGGUGUGACUGCGUACCUUUGUAUAAUGGGUCAGCGACUUAUAUUCUGUAGCAAGGUUAACCGUAUAGGGAGCCGCAGGGAAACCGAGUCUUAACUGGGCGUUAAGUUGCAGGGUAUAGACCCGAAACCCGGUGAUCUAGCCAUGGGCAGGUUGAAGGUUGGGUAACACUAACUGGAGGACCGAACCGACUAAUGUUGAAAAAUUAGCGGAUGACUUGUGGCUGGGGGUGAAAGGCCAAUCAAACCGGGAGAUAGCUGGUUCUCCCCGAAAGCUAUUUAGGUAGCGCCUCGUGAACUCAUCUUCGGGGGUAGAGCACUGUUUCGGCUAGGGGGUCAUCCCGACUUACCAACC